GCACUUGAGGAGCAUGGGGUGACUUCUUUUUUUCUCUCUGCCUCGUGUCCUGCUCUCAGAGACCAAUGCAUCGGGGCAGGCGGGUAAUAGCCUCUGUGUGAGCUCUGGCUUAGACCAGGGCAGCAGAGCUGUGGGCCAGCAGAUACUGGGCAAGCAGCCAGACCCCCAGUGUGAGCAGCUUGGGCAACAAGAGGGCACAACCACGUGCAGGAGCAGAAGCAGGAACAGCAGGCACCAGCACCAGGCACAGGCAAGCUCCUGGUUUUAGGAAUUUUCCUCAAAUAAGCAUGGCUCAACCCUCCUGUUUUCCAUUCUUGAGCACUCACAGGGUGUGGAUGGGGGGAACAAGUACGUCUGUACCUCAAUGCCCUUUUUAACCAGAAACAGGCUUGCAUUUUUCCCCCCACUGAUAUGCAAACAUUUCUCUUGAAGAAAAGAAAAGAAAAGAAAAUGCCUGGGUACCAGCUGGGUAGAAAUCCAAGAAAGAUUAAAAGAAGAAAACCAAUUUUCCUAUUCAUGAUCUCAGUAGUGAAGAACGACCCCUUCCUCCCCCAGCCCCAGCCUGCUCUCGCUGUGAGUGCGGGUGAGCUGUGCUCUCCAAACAGCCAAGUGCAUUUCUGAAAUGAAGGAAGCAAACAGAAAACAUCCGCUCUCUGUAUAAUAGAGAAAGCUUUCUCUUUUGUUCCCUGCUUUUUAUCAAGUAUCUGCUGCCAUUAUUGUUACUCACUGGGUUAUUACCUCCGAGUGGCUACUUCCACCAGCACAAGCUGGUUUAUUGUCUGCUCAGAGCAAUUAUGGAUUGGGAUAAUUCCUGCCAUGCUGUUUCAUUGUGGAAGGAUCCGCUGUGUUCCGUGGCCAAGGAAUCCCAACAAACUUGCCACUGGCAAGAACAUUUCUUGGUGAGGUCCUGCCAAAUCCCCCAAGCUGUCCAUGCAAAAAGGGUCAUCCCUCGUGCAGCCCCCACAGGUGCAGCAGGGCUUGGCACAGGAUUUCUGCUGAAGAUGUGGGGGUUUGGUCUUUCAGGAGCAGCUGCGUGGGUUUUGCAAUGCAGAUACUCAGCCGCAGACUCCAAACUGUGAAUCCCUACUCCCGGACUCUGAGCUCCUGAGGUUGAUUUUACCACUUCAAUAAUAAGGGAAAAUGAUGUGGAUUGGUGGCAGAAGCAGGUUUUAUGGUGAGUGGAG